ACGGCUACAUCAUGCUGAAACACAAGUUCCCGUAAGAUUACUGUAGUUAAGCAACGUCGAAGUUGGUCAGUACUUCGAUGGGUGACUACUUGGGAAUACCAGAUGCUGUAAG